UACAGAGGGUGCAAGCGUUAAUCGGAGUUACUGGGCGUAAAGGGCGCGUAGGCGGUUAAGUGAGUGUGAUGUGAAAGCCCUGGGCUUAACCUAGGAAGUGCAUCGCAAACGACUUAACUGGAGUAUAUGAGAGGGUGGUGGAAUUUCCGGUGUAGCGGUGAAAUGCGUAGAGAUCGGAAGGAACACCAGUGGCGAAAGCGGCUUCCUGGUCCGACACCGACGUUCAGGCACGAAAGCGUGGGGAGCAAACAGG
rnacentral:rRNA from 1 species